GGGAAAAUAGCUCAGUGGUACAGGUAGAGCAUCGGUUUUAUAACUCAAAGGUCGUGGGUUCGAUCCCCAGAGUCCCCG